CGCACAGUAAACGAUGUACACCAGGUGUCUGCGCAAGAGCGUGGGUGCCGAAGUAAACGCGAUGAGUGUACCGCCUGGGAAGUAUGCCCGCAAGGGUGAAACUCAAAGGAAUUGACGGGGGCCCGCACAAGCGGUGGAGCAUGUGGUUUAAUUCGAUGGUACGCGAGGAACCUUACCUGGGUUUGACAUACACAGGAAUGAUGCAGAGAUGCGUCAGAGUAGCAAUACUUCUGUGAACAGGUGC
rnacentral:rRNA from 1 species